GCCCUGCUGGGGGGACUAUAAUAAAUGGUCCUUGAGUCCAGUCCUUUAUGGGAGCAACCCCAGGAUGAUACCUCCGGGGAAUUAUCCUUCAAGAAGUACAUUGGCAAAAACUAACCUUUCCAUGAGCAUGUAUCAGAAGGUUGUUGUUGAAUUUGGGUUUGGUUUUGUGUGGUGUGCUGUUUUUUUCUUUCUUCCUUUUAUUUCUCUUUUUUUCACCUCUCCCUUAAAGGCAGAAUAAAUUAAGAGUUUAUCUGUAAUUUUCUCGGCAGGACAACUGCAUUGAAGUGCCAGGCAGGAUCUCCCAUUGUAUAAAUCAAUGCGUUUUAUCACAAGCUUGGGCCUUCUGGUAAUAAACUAAACAAGAGCUGCGGCUUUCUUCGUGGAGGUAAUCAGCAAACAGAGUGACAAGGGAACCCACAGAAGUUGGAGGAGAUGAGGAGACCUGUGCCAAACGCUACAGCAUCUGGAUACAACCCUGAGCAGGGCAGGUGCCUGUCUUCAAACUGGAGGAACUAACCAGCAUCAGGUGUUCUGCUCAUCAGUUGUGCAGUUCAGCUCCCUGCUGUCACCCAUAGGCUGUGUGAGGAAUACAAAGUACCAGGCUGGGUACCGCCACAUCCUGCUAGACCAAAUCACACAGUAGCCUUCCCAGAGGUAGUGAGG